GACGAACGCUGGCGGCGUGCUUAACACAUGCAAGUCGAACGGAAAGGCCCUGCUUUUGUGGGGUGCUCGAGUGGCGAACGGGUGAGUAACACGUGAGUAACCUGCCCUUGACUUUGGGAUAACUUCAGGAAACUGGGGCUAAUACCGGAUAGGAGCUCCUGCUGCAUGGUGGGGGUUGGAAGGUUUCGGCGGUUGGGGAUGGACUCGCGGCUUAUCAGCUUGUUGGUGGGGUAGUGGCUUACCAAGGCUUUGACGGGUAGCCGGCCUGAGAGGGUGACCGGCCACAUUGGGACUGAGAUACGGCCCAGACUCCUACGGGAGGCAGCAGUGGCGAAUAUUGCACAAUGGGCGGAAGCCUGAUGCAGCAACGCCGCGUGCGGGAUGACGGCCUUCAGGUUGUAAACCGCUUUCGCCUGUGACGAAGCGUGAGUGACGGUAAUGGGUAAAGAAGCACCGGCUAACUACGUG
rnacentral:rRNA from 1 species